UUCAAGAGAAGCGUAUCGGACAUGUCGUUCAGUUCAAUUCAGUCGAGUCGAGCCGGAGUACUAAAAAGGUCGUUUUUUCAACAAAUUUUCCACACAGAGACAGACACACACAUACACACAGACACAUCGGGAUCGUCGACUAAUAAUAAUCUAUAUCAUUUUAUCUAUUCUUUUUAUCUCACACUCCGUAUUAAUUUUUUUAACGUAAUAUUCGGCGUUUAAUCUCUUUUUUUUUCUUAUUUUUUUGUUUUUCUUUUUUUUUUUUUUUUUGAAAUAUUUGAUAAAAUCCAUCGCGAGAAUAAUUCAAGGUUCCGUCGUCAUCUUCGUCACGUCUUCGGCAUCGUUGGCUACGUCGUCGUCGUCGUCAUCUUUGUGAAGAGAACGCGAGGAUGUUCGGAAGGUGUUCUAUCUCUUUGCCAGAUAUUUCACUUCAUGGAAAAACUUCCAUAAAAAUAUAUAAUCGUCCUAAAAAACGUGAACAAAGGAUUGAAUCUCUCUGUUUCCCUCUCGUCGUCAUUCAAAUAAAAGAACAGAGAAGAAAAUGGGGGAAAAAGAAAAUGACUCGCGGUUGCUUUUUACGAGAUGGAAAGAAGAAGAAGAAAAAGAAGAAAGAAGGAAUCGAGAAUGACGAUAACACUUUGACGGCUUCGAAGUAUUAUCCACCUGCAACUACGGCUCUUACAAACUAAACUAACAGUAAGAAGAAAAAAAGAAAAAAAAGGGACAAAGAAGAUAAAGAAACGACUCGGGAAGGACCUGACAUGGGGACUAGAAGAUUAACAGCAGUCACAGGGGGGCAGAAUCGGUCAAGCCAUGACACCAUAUUUAAAAAAUCAAAGAAUCCAAACGGGGGAUCGGUCGCCUCUUUUCUUACAAACAAAAAUUUUCCUUUCACAUUUUUCUUUUUAACAAAAAAGAAUCAUCGUUCCUUACGAAAAACAAUAAUAGAAUGAUAUACUAUAAUGAUUUCUAAUAUCAAUUACAUCAUUUCUUCUUCUUCUUCUUCUUCUUCUUCUCUUUUACACUUAACUUACACUUUAGAAAAGGUGUAAACUUUGUUAACAACGAGGACACGCGGAUUCGUUGUUCGUCUCGUAAAUCGUAAGGCUAUCUAGCUGUGCAGUAAUUCCUAA